UGGGGAAUAUUGGACAAUGGGCGCAAGCCUGAUCCAGCCAUGCCGCGUGAGUGAUGAAGGCCCUAGGGUUGUAAAGCUCUUUCACCGGUGAAGAUAAUGACGGUAACCGGAGAAGAAGCCCCGGCUAACUUCGUGCCAGCAGCCGCGGUAAUACGAAGGGGGCUAGCGUUGUUCGGAUUUACUGGGCGUAAAGCGCACGUAGGCGGACUUUUAAGUCAGGGGUGAAAUCCCGGGGCUCAACCCCGGAACUGCCUUUGAUACUGGAAGUCUUGAGUAUGGUAGAGGUGAGUGGAAUUCCGAGUGGAGAGGUGAAAUUCGUAGAUAUUCGGAGGAACACCAGUGGCGAAGGCGGCUCACUGGACCAUUACUGACGCUGAGGUGCGAAAGCGUGGGAGCAAACAGG
rnacentral:rRNA from 1 species